ACCUGGUUGGCUCAGUCAGUUAAGCGUCUGACUUCAGCUCAGUUCAUGAUCUCACAGUUUGUGAGUUUGAGCCCCGCAUCGGGUU
rnacentral:tRNA from 1 species